UCCAGCGGAUCUUCCCGACCCAGGAAUCGAACCGGGGUCUUCUGCAUUGCAGGCAGAUUCUUUACCAACUGACCUAUCAAGGAAGCCCAUCAAUGGGAAUAAUAAUGCCUACCCAAUAGGGUGGUCACAAGGAAGAUGUGAGGUAAUAAAGUCCUGUCACUGAUCGAUCAUUCCCUUUCUUGCUCUCCUUCCAUGUGAUUCUAAAACUCUAUAACAUCCUACAAAUGACCAGAACACCAGGACUCACACUGACCCUCAUAUUAAGCACAUGGUAUCUGUUGAUUAUGUUCUCUGUGUGUGAUACUGCUCUUUGGAGGGAGGAGGCUUAGACAUGUGUGAGGCAUGGGUCCUACCCUGGGAACAAGGCUGGGGGGCAGAUGAACUUGAGGCCAGAAGAACGCUGGAGUGGUGGGGAUUAGAUAGGCCAAAAGGGUGCCCUGAAGUGACAAUGACAAGGGCAUGGCUAUAUCAGAUUUAAGUUCCUGCCUUUGGAGUUCCUCUCACCCACUGGAGGCCCCCCAGGAGGUCCAAGCAGGGGAAAAGCCAGGUGAAAACUGGUGAGGGCUGCUGGGCUGCAGAAGGAGGCACGGAAAUUAUCUAGGGAUGCAAAUCCUCCUCACAAUGAGGAAGUCGUUCCCCUGGGUUACUUAAAUGCCUUCUGCUGGAACUGAAGUUUGUUUUUCUCUUCUGUAGUCUUUUGGGGAAAGAGAGAAUUGCUAAUGACCUUCCUCCAUUACCCAACAUUGAUCUGUGGGAGGGGAGGCCGUCGCCUGGUCUUCCUGCCUUUCCCUGUGUGUAUCCCUCUGGAUGUACUAACAAGGGCUUAACCAGAGAUGAAUAAGUGCCAAGGCAUUUCCAGCUUACAGCACUUCUCCAGAAUCCCUCCUCCCUCUCCUUCUUCUUUUCCCUUUCCUCCCCACCCCUCUAUGUCCCCAGCCCCGGUCCUUGGGGGGCUCUGGGCAAAGGUCAUCCUCCUGGAGGAGAUGAUCCUGCAGUCCUGCCCAGGGGGGCUCACCUCUGCUCCUCCCUGGGAGCUGCUAGCAGGCAGCCUGGGAGCCCAGGGAUGUCAGGUCAAACUCAGACGAUGUAGGAGCAGGAGCUGGGGGCAGCGAGGCGGGGUGUCCACCAGGGAGGUGAUUAGCUUUGCAGCGUCUCUAAUAAUAAUCUGUGAGGCUAACAAACAGCACUGCGGAGGCUGUGAGGGCAGGCUGCGCGCUGACUGUCUCUGUCCUUCUUAAGGUUAGACCAGGAGGGAGACCUUGUUAAUUGCAGACUCAUCCUGAUUACUACCAGCUCUCAGCCGGUGAGCCACAGGAGGCAAAGCCAAGGCUUAGUGGAGACAUUUGGAGCAGCUGGAGUCUGCUGGAGUAGGGUUUCCUCCUGACCCUGGGGACCCAACUUGUGAGAAAGCCCUGGGAUUCAAAAACUCAGUUCAUCUAUCGGUCAGUAUUGGCUGGCUGCAGUGCGUCUACAGAACAUUCAAAGGAGUCCUGAAUUUCAUUUUUUGAAAGAUAUGAGUUGAACCAACAAAGUGCUCGUCCAUCCUUCAGAAGAGAGUCACUUCUUCCUCUGAUCUGAAGGACUUGUGACCCUCUGAGAUCCCCCUACCACAACAAAGCCCCAGACAAGGUAAGUCCUUAAAGACUUUUUGACUCUCCUUAGGAGAGUAGAAGCAAUAUAUUCCUCCCCUGGAGCUAUUUUUGAGCUACCUGAGGACUCACAGCCUCUGCUGAGGCCCCGGGGAAGCCGAGGUACAUGUCGCUGAUCUUCUGUACUCCUGGUGGUGGUGGGUGUCAGGCUGAGUUGCUUAUCACGGCCCCCUGCCUGCUGCACAUCUCCGAGAGCUCAAAAGUGACCUGCGUGAACAUGAAGCGGGUAAGACUUCUUAGCCUUCUCACUGGGACCUGGCUUUGGGCCUUUGACUGACGGCUCACUGACACCAGCACUCUUUGAGAAAGGAACACAAAAGAGGUUUCUGAAAAGUUACCGGAGACACAGGAGAGUAUUGGAAAGGAAUGCUGACACCGUCGUUUUGGCCAAAAAAACAUAAGGUGGGUUAAAAACAUUAGCUUUUCUCGAGUGGCUUAUCUGUUGCCAUUGAACUACAAAUGUUUGGAAGUAUUUAGUAAAGUGAAAGAUACAUCGCCCUACAGUUGGGCAACUGUACUGUAGGCAUAUGCUGUAGAGAAACAUACAGGUGCAUAAAGAGACACGUACCAGAGACAUCAUAGCACUAUUGUUUGUAAUAGCAAAACAGGCAAACAAAAAACACAAAAGAUGGAGCAACCAAAAUUUCUAGCAACAGGACAAUGAAAUGAAUAAGUUGAGUAAGUUGUGAAGUACUCAUUCAAUGGAGUUCUUUUCAGCAGUAAAAAUGAAUGAAGUGGAGUUACAUGUAUCAACAUGGAUGAUUCUCUGAAACAUCACAGAGCUAAGGAAGCAUGCUGCAGAAGAGUAUAUCCACUGCGAUACCACUUAUAAAAGCUGUGAGCUAUGCAGAACCAAGCCAGCUCCACUGCCGGGUUCAAAGAUUCUCUGGACUGACUCUCCUGGAGCGUCCCCAGGCCAGCUCUGACUAUUCCUAACUUCACACGUGGGCAUCCAUUCCUCAUGGAGACAUUAUUUAACUUGUUCAGUCGCUCAGUCAUGUUGGAGUCUUUGCGACCCCGUGGACUACAGCACGCUGGGCUUCCCUGUCCUUCAGGAAUCUCCUGGAGUUUGCUCAGACUCACGUCCAUUGAGUCGGUGAUGCCAUCCAACCAUUCAUCCUCUGUAACCCCUUCUCCUCCUGCCCUCAGUAUAUCCCAUCAUCAGGGUCUUUUCCAGCGAGUUGGCUCUUCACAUCAAGUGGCCAAAGUAUUGUCCUGCUGCUGUCUGCUCCCUCCCUGCCGAUUCCAAGUCCGAUUCCAAGUGUCAUGACUGCAGAGCUGUGUCUUUUUUAUGGGGUGGAGGUAGGGAUGGGAGAGGGGAUAUGUCACCUCUAAUUCGGUUUUCUCUAUAAUAAGGGAAGCUCAAUAAUGAAUUGAGCUUGACAAAAAGUUAAUGCAAUAAAAAUUGCACCCUGACUCGAAAUUUAGCUCCGAUACUCCCUGGUUAUGUGCCAUUGGGGAAGUGACUUAAUCUUUCUCAGUGUCAAUUUUGCUUCUGUAAAAUGGGGAUAUUACAUAAAUACCUUACAGGAUUCUUUGUUGUUGUUGUUGCAGUAUAAUUGACUUACAAUGUUCUGUUAAUUUCUGCUAUACAGCAAAGUGAUUCAGUU